rnacentral:rRNA from 1 species
UGGGGAAUAUUGCACAAUGGGCGAAAGCCUGAUGCAGCGACGCCGCGUGAGGGAUGACGGCCUUCGGGUUGUAAACCUCUUUCAGCAGGGACGAAGCGCAAGUGACGGUACCUGCAGAAGAAGCACCGGCUAACUACGUGCCAGCAGCCGCGGUAAUACGUAGGGUGCAAGCGUUGUCCGGAAUUACUGGGCGUAAAGAGUUCGUAGGCGGUUUGUCGCGUCGUUUGUGAAAACCAGCAGCUCAACUGGUGGCUUGCAGGCGAUACGGGCAGACUUGAGUACUGCAGGGGAGACUGGAAUUCCUGGUGUAGCGGUGAAAUGCGCAGAUAUCAGGAGGAACACCGGUGGCGAAGGCGGGUCUCUGGGCAGUAACUGACGCUGAGGAACGAAAGCGUGGGUAGCGAACAGG